rnacentral:rRNA from 1 species
GGGGGGGGGGGGGGGGGGGGGGGAUAGGGGCGGGGCGGGGGCAGGGUCUUGGACCGUGGCUUGCUACGCCGAAAGAAAAUGAGGGGCGAACGGGUGAGUAACACGUGGGUAACGUGCCCAUCAGCGGGGGAUAACACUUGGAAACAGGUGCUAAUACCGCAUAAUUCCAUUUACUGCAUGGUAGAUGGAUGAAAGGCGCUUUUGCGUCACUGAUGGAUGGACCCGCGGUGAAUUAGCUAGUUGGUGGGGUAACGGCCUACCAAGGCUGCGAUGCAUAGCCGACCUGAGAGGGUGAUCGGCCACACUGGGACUGAGACACGGCCCAGACUCCUACGGGAGGCAGCAGUAGGGAAUCUUCGGCAAUGGACGCAAGUCUGACCGAGCAACGCCGCGUGAGUGAAGAAGGUUUUCGGAUCGUAAAACUCUGUUGUUAGAAAAGAACAAGGAUGAGAGUGGAAAGUUCAUCCCUUGACGGUAUCUAACCAGAAAGCCACGGCUAACUACGUG